rnacentral:rRNA from 1 species
GAUGAACGCUAGCUACAGGCUUAACACAUGCAAGUCGCGGGGCAUCAUGGAGGUUGCUUGCAAUUUCUGAUGGCGACCGGCGCACGGGUGAGUAACGCGUAUCCAACCUUCCCAUUACUACGGCAUACCCCGUUGAAAGGCGGCCUAAUUCCGUAUGCAGUCCGAAGCAGUCAUCUAAUUUGGACGAAAGGUAUAUUCUAUCGGUAAUGGAUGGGGAUGCGUCCGAUUAGCCAGCCGGCGGGGUAACGGCCCACCGGGGCAUUGAUCGGUAGGGGUUCUGAGAGGAAGGUCCCCCACACUGGAACUGAGACACGGUCCAGACUCCUACGGGAGGCAGCAGUGAGGAAUAUUGGUCAAUGGGCGUAAGCCUGAACCAGCCAAGUAGCGUGCAGGAUGACGGCCCUAUGGGUUGUAAACUGCUUUUAUGCGGGGAUAAAGUUGGGGACGUGUCCCUUUUU